rnacentral:misc_RNA from 1 species
UUUCAUCCUGAUGAAGAAUACUAUCCGUCAUCAGUGACUUGGUUUUUUCAGAAUGGAGCAUUAUUAUAUACCAAAGGACAGGAAUCUUCACCUGUAGGUAUUCAUCCCACAGGUUCAAAUCUUCCUCAGGAUGGUUCAAACGAUGGUGCUUACUGGCUGGACCUCCCGACUGAUGAUGCUGCGAAAACUAAUGUCAAGAAAGGAGAUUUACAGGGUGCCACAGCCUACUUACACGUUAAACCAAUGUUUGGUGCAACACAUACUGAUAUUGCUGUGUGGCUAUUUUAUCCCUUCAAUGGACCUGCAAAGGCUAAACUCGAAUUCAUGACCAUUUCCUUGGGGAAAAUUGGAGAGCACGUUGGUGAUUGGGAACAUGUUACAUUGAGGAUUAGCAACUUCAACGGGGAGUUACAAAGCAUAUACUUUUCACAACACAGUGGAGGGAUUUGGGUACCUGCCUCUCAGCUAGAAUUUCAAAACGGUAACAAACCCGUGGUGUACUCAUCGCUGCAUGGACACGCUGCUUAUCCAGGACCAGGAAAGAAUUUGCAAGGGAGAGGAGAUGUAGGAAUCAGAAAUGAUACAGGGAAGGGGAAGUUGAUGGACAUAGGAACAAACUUUUUAGUAGCAGCAGCAGAAUACUUGGGAUCAACAAUAGUGGAGCCAGUAUGGCUUAAUUAUGGAAGGGAAUGGGGUCCAAAAAUUAGCUAUGAUAUAUCAAAAGAGCUGAGGAAAGUAGAAAGAUUUAUGAUUGGCAAACUGAAGAAAGCUAUUGAGAAAAUAGUGAGAGAUCUACCAAAUGAGGUUUUG